GGUUUCUUGAUGCAAAGAAAAUAAGGCAAUAGUCACAAUUGCAGAUGAAGAUGGAAAUUAUUUACAGGAGGCAUGGGAGCAUAUUUUGACAUGUGUGUCCAGGUUUGAGCACAAUGUUCAGGUGUGCUGGGAGAAAUUUGGAAGGUACUUUGAGGUGGAGCUGAAGGAGGUGAAGCUAAGAGGUGGAUACUAUGUAAUGGACCCUCAAAAAGCAGUUGAAAUGGUAGAUGAGAACACUAUUUGUGUUGCUGCUAUUCUU